rnacentral:rRNA from 1 species
GUGCUAAGGUAGCAUAAUAAUUUGCCUCUUAAUUAGAGGAUGGAAUGAACGUGAAAACAAUAGGCACACUGUCUCUCAUGCUAAACGAAAAAUUUAUCUUAGGGUGAAAAAGCCCCCUUACAAAAAAAAGACAAAAAGACCCUAGAAGCUUAAAAAUAUAUUAAUUAAUUUAAUAACUUUUUUGGCUGGGAGGGCAAAAAGUAAUUAAUACACUUUUGCUCAAAAGAUAUUAAAUCAAUAAUAUUCAACCUAAAAAAGAACAUAAGUAAGCUACUCUAGGGGUAACAGGCUAAUACUCCUCAAGAGUACACAUUGACAGGAGUGAUUGGCACCUCGAUGUUGGCUUAGGAAUAUUAUUUUAUGCAGAAGUAAAAUUAAUCGGUUUGUUCAACCUUUAAUCUCCUACAUGAUCUGAG